GAAUUGGGAUAUUUUAGAUAGAGAAGAAGGUAGAUGGAGACAGACCUCGCAGAUCUGUCCUGCUGCAGCCUUUCCUGUAGAUCUGUUGAUGGAGAUCUCACCCGUGCCUCAAACGACCUCAGAUCAACUCCAGAUCUGAGAGGGGCUUGUAUCAACCUCUUCGCAAGAGAUUUCAAGUCCUGGACCUGGUGCUUGGGUGGCUGCAAGAGAGGGAGAGAGGGAUCUGGUUGGCGGCUGCAAGAGAGGAGGGGCUAGCGCCUCCUUCCUUUUUGGGCCUGGCGGCAAGAAACCCUAGGGUUUCUUGCUCCUGGGGUGUGGAGAAUUGCUGGAGAGAGAGGGAGAAGAGAGAGAGAGACUUGGGAGAAAGAGUCUUGUAUUCUCUUGGCUUGAUCAAACCUAUACAAGUACAUGUAUAUAUAAACACAGGGUCAAGUGACCCAAACCCAAAACUCCCUUGACCAACUCUAUGGGAGAUUAGGUUAACCCAAGCCCAUGUACAUGCUUGACUCGACCUAAUCUCACCUAUCCUGGGCCCAAACCUGGC
rnacentral:lncRNA from 1 species